rnacentral:rRNA from 1 species
GAUGAACGCUGGCGGCGUGCCUAAUACAUGCAAGUCGAGCGAACAGACGAGGAGCUUGCUCCUCUGACGUUAGCGGCGGACGGGUGAGUAACACGUGGAUAACCUACCUAUAAGACUGGGAUAACUUCGGGAAACCGGAGCUAAUACCGGAUAACAUGUUGAACCGCAUGGUUCAACAGUGAAAGACGGUUUUGCUGUCACUUAUAGAUGGAUCCGCGUCGCAUUAGCUAGUUGGUAAGGUAACGGCUUACCAAGGCAACGAUGCGUAGCCGACCUGAGAGGGUGAUCGGCCACACUGGAACUGAGACACGGUCCAGACUCCUACGGGAGGCAGCAGUAGGGAAUCUUCCGCAAGGGGCGAAAGCCUGACGGAGCAACGCCGCGUGAGUGAAGAAGGUCUUCGGAUCGUAAAACUCUGUUAUUAGGGAAGAACAAAUGUGUAAGUAACUAUGCACGUCUUGACGGUACCUAAUCAGAAAGCCACGGCUAACUACG